CCUGGCUCACGAUGAACGCUGGCGGCGCGCCUAACACAUGCAAGUCGAACGAGAGAUGAGGAGCUUGCUCUUCAAAUCGAGUGGCGAACGGGUGAGUAACGCGUGAGGAACCUGCCUCAAAGAGGGGGACAACAGUUGGAAACGACUGCUAAUACCGCAUAAGCCCACGGCUCGGCAUCGAGCAGAGGGAAAAGGAGCAAUCCGCUUUGAGAUGGCCUCGCGUCCGAUUAGCUAGUUGGUGAGGUAACGGCCCACCAAGGCGACGAUCGGUAGCCGGACUGAGAGGUUGAACGGCCACAUUGGGACUGAGACACGGCCCAGACUCCUACGGGAGGCAGCAGUGGGGAAUAUUGCACAAUGGGGGAAACCCUGAUGCAGCGACGCCGCGUGGAGGAAGAAGGUCUUCGGAUUGUAAACUCCUGUUGUUGAGGAAGAUAAUGACGGUACUCAACAAGGAAGUGACGGCUAACUACGUGCCAGCAGCCGCGGUAAAACGUAGGUCACAAGCGUUGUCCGGAAUUACUGGGUGUAAAGGGAGCGCAGGCGGGAGAACAAGUUGGAAGUGAAAUCCAUGGGCUCAACCCAUGAACUGCUUUCAAAACUGUUUUUCUUGAGUAGUGCAGAGGUAGGCGGAAUUCCCGGUGUAGCGGUGGAAUGCGUAGAUAUCGGGAGGAACACCAGUGGCGAAGGCGGCCUACUGGGCACCAACUGACGCUGAGGCUCGAAAGUGUGGGUAGCAAACAGGAUUAGAUACCCUGGUAGUCCACACCGUAAACGAUGAUUACUAGGUGUUGGAGGAUUGACCCCUUCAGUGCCGCAGUUAACACAAUAAGUAAUCCACCUGGGGAGUACGACCGCAAGGUUGAAACUCAAAGGAAUUGACGGGGGCCCGCACAAGCAGUGGAGUAUGUGGUUUAAUUCGACGCAACGCGAAGAACCUUACCAAGUCUUGACAUCCCUUGACGAUGCUGGAAACAGUAUUUCUCUUCGGAGCAAGGAGACAGGUGGUGCAUGGUUGUCGUCAGCUCGUGUCGUGAGAUGUUGGGUUAAGUCCCGCAACGAGCGCAACCCUUAUGGUCAGUUACUACGCAAGAGGACUCUGGCCAGACUGCCGUUGACAAAACGGAGGAAGGUGGGGAUGACGUCAAAUCAUCAUGCCCUUUAUGACUUGGGCUACACACGUACUACAAUGGCGUUAAACAAAGAGAAGCAAGACCGCGAGGUGGAGCAAAACUCAGAAACAACGUCCCAGUUCGGACUGCAGGCUGCAACUCGCCUGCACGAAGUCGGAAUUGCUAGUAAUCGUGGAUCAGCAUGCCACGGUGAAUACGUUCCCGGGCCUUGUACACACCGCCC
rnacentral:rRNA from 1 species